CUGUCACAAAAACACAAUUUGUUGUCACUGUUUUAUUACUAUAAAAUCUACAUAUUUUAAACAAUCUUUUACAAUCGUUCUUGUGAACAGUGAAUCGCACAUUGGGAAAAAUUUGCUCUGAUAACCGAAAAUUCGUCGACCUAAAAUAUAUAUUUCAGAUCCGCAUUGCAAAAUGGAAUCCAAAGUUGCACUUACUGCUUUCGUUAUGUGUACAUUUUUUUUGUGUAAAAGUGCAGCAGGUUUAGAGUGUUAUGUAUGUCUUCUUGGAGUUUGCAAGGAUCCAUUAGCUAAAAUGACAUGUCAACCCAACCAAAAGUGUAUCACGCAAUUAGCUACUCAGGGAAGCACUAGCCUGGAAACAAAAACUUGCAUUACACCUAGCGAUAAGCUUGUGAAUACAUGUGAAGAGCAAAAUAAAAAAACAGGACAGCAUUGUAAGAUAUGUGAUUCAAACCUGUGUAAUGCAGCAGAACUAUACACCUUUUCUAUAUUUUUAUUAUGUUCAGUGAUGAUAAUUCUUUAUAAAAUUAUGUAAUUGGAUAAAUAAAAGUUUGUACAGAGAAUAAA